rnacentral:rRNA from 1 species
UACAGAGGUCUCAAGCGUUGUUCGGAUUCAUUGGGCGUAAAGGGUGUGUAGGUGGCGCGCUAAGUCGGGUGUGAAAUUUCGGAGCUUAACUCCGAAACUGCAUUCGAUACUGGCGUGCUUGAGGACUGGAGAGGAGACUGGAAUUCAUGGUGUAGCAGUGAAAUGCGUAGAGAUUAUGAGGAAGACCAGUGGCGAAGGCGGGUCUCUGGACAGUUCCUGACACUGAGGCACGAAGGCCAGGGGAGCAAACGGG